GUGGGGAAUCUUGCGCAAUGGGCGAAAGCCUGACGCAGCCAUGCCGCGUAAAUGAUGAAGGUCUUAGGAUUGUAAAAUUCUUUCACCGGGGACGAUAAUGACGGUACCCGGAGAAGAAGCCCCGGCUAACUUCGUGCCAGCAGCCGCGGUAAUACGAAGGGGGCUAGCGUUGCUCGGAAUUACUGGGCGUAAAGGGCGCGUAGGCGGACAGUUUAGUUAGAGGUGAAAGCCCAGGGCUCAACCUUGGAAUUGCCUUUGAUACUGGCUGUCUUGAGUACGGGAGAGGUGAGUGGAACUCCGAGUGUAGAGGUGAAAUUCGUAGAUAUUCGGAAGAACACCAGUGGCGAAGGCGACUCACUGGCCCGUUACUGACGCUGAGGCGCGAAAGCGUGGGGAGCAAACAGGAUUAGAAACCCCUGUAGUCC
rnacentral:rRNA from 1 species